GCACUUGUUGUCCUCAUGCAUGAUAUGGGUCCAAACUGGGAGCUGAUAAGUGAUGCUAUCAACAGUACCCUGCAGUUCAAGGUGAAGUUGUAUUUGGAUCUUUUUCUUUGGUUAUACUAGGAGCACAGUAACUUAUAGUGAUCUAAGGGAGCUGGAGCAUUUUCUGAGUAUGGAGCACAGUAAUUUCAUAUUAUUUACGAAUUACUAGAAUAUGAAGGACAGCUUAUUAAAUGUGUUGACGCGCUUGGCCGUAAUGAAAAUGAUACUAUUUAAUAGUUAGAAAAUGAGUUUCCAAUGGUGGAAAUCUAAGGAGCAAAUUGUAUGCUGAAUAUUUGCUGCUAGAAGUGCAGUAUGAAGACAUUAUUACAGUAUUUUUAAUGUCUGUUUAAAGUCACAAGCCUCACAUUUAUUUUAAUGUCUGUAACUUGCAGUAUGAAGGUCUCAAACACCGAGUGUUUGAGUGUUCCUUGGCUGACCUUCAGGCUGAUGAGGAUCAGUCCUACAGGAUUUUACAACCGACAAAUUAAGAUCGCUGGUCCGUAAGUGGCAAACCUUGAUCGAGGCGCAUGUACAUGUGAAGACGACAGACAACUACACCCUGAGAAUGUUUUGCAUUGGAUUCACCAAGAGGCGCCCUAACCAGGUUAAGCGAACCUGUUAUGCCCAGUCAAGCCAAAUCAGACAGAUUUGCAGAAAAAUGAGGGAAAUCAUGGUUAACCAGGCAACGUCCUGUGAUCUCAAGGAGUUGGUGCUUAAGGUUUAGUGUUUUCAUUUUCCCUUUCUAUCUUCAAUUUUCAUGGAAUGUUUGAGGAUUUUGUUUUAGUGGAUGGAGAAUUUUGAGAGAUGACAAUAAGAAAUAUACAUGUAACUGUGGUGCAGAUAUGGUUUCUGCGGGCUGUGGUGCAGAUAUACAUGUAACUGUUAAAAUAGAAAGUGCAGACUCCACACCAAAUCUGCAUUCUAUCAUUUCUACAUCUGAUGGGAUAUCUUUUCAGAGGCUAUUGAACAAGCAAGGUGGAAAGCGAGCUACCUGGGAGUAUCCAUUUACUAUGGCUGGUGUAAAUAUCACAUUCAUGAUCAUACAAAUGCUAGAUUUGAACUCCCGAAUUUGCAGCCCCAAACAAAUCACUGUUCCAAAAUUGAAAGCCUACCUACUGAUUUGCAGCCCCAAACAAAUCACCAAAGAAGAAACUGAUGUAUCGACUCACCAAUCGAAAGUUUCCCUAUGAAGAACUAGCAUGUGUGGAUUGGCAAAAGUGUGAAUGCACUUGGCGUAAUUAGUAGUGAGAUAGACAUGCUCUAGGGAGUAACAUGAAGAAAAUGUAGAAUCAGUAUAUAUA